rnacentral:sRNA from 1 species
UGGAAAAGGAGGCAGCAGGCCUUGAAGUGGCAGAGAAGGCUCCAUCAUCAGAUGCUAAAACUGCCAGUUUCAACUUUUCCUGGAGAUGGAGUUGUUUUCAAUAAUGGAGUGAACUGGAUUUCCUGAACAAGCCUCCCAGUGAAGAGGAAGCACAGCACCCACUGGAGCUUGUCAGGGGAGUAAUUCCAACCUCUUAGCCAAGACCAGAGCUAAAAGGGCACCUUCAUCACACCGCCGACGUUGACCCCAGGCUGACAAAUGUGACCUGCUUCCGUUGGUCUUUGAAUCCUCAUUUCUAUUUGCUUUUCAACUUUAUUGUAUAUAUCUUUUAUGUAACUUACUUCAAGUUAUUUUGUAGGGAAAUGUGUAAAAAACCCCUGCUUUUUGGGAUCAUGAAAAUAUUUCAAAGUUAGAUUAUGGUGAUGGUUGCCCAACUUUGUAAAUAUACUAAAGAUCGUUCAAUGGUACGCUUUAAACGGAUGAACUUAAUGGUAUAUAAAUUAUCUCAAUAAAACGAUUUGAAAAAA